GGUCCCGAGGUGAAUUUCAUAUUGAAUUGCAAAUUCGAAGAAGCAGCUUCAACUCUGCCGGGGCU
rnacentral:tRNA from 1 species